rnacentral:rRNA from 1 species
UACGGGGGGAGCAAGCGUUGUUCGGAUUUACUGGGCGUAAAGGGCGCGUAGGCGGCGUGACAAGUCACUUGUGAAAUCUCCGGGCUUAACUCGGAACGGUCGAAGUGAUACUGUCGGACUAGAGUACGGGAGAGGAAAGUGGAAUCCUGGUGUGAGCGGUGAAAUGCGUAGAUAUCAGGAGGAACACCGGUGGUGUAGACGGCUCACUGGACCGUAACUGACGCUGA